UACGUAGGCAGCAAGCGUUGUUCGGAGUUACUGGGCGUAAAGCGUGCGCAGGCGGCUUCUCAAGUCAGGGGUGAAAGCCCAGAGCUCAACUCUGGAAUUGCCUUUGAGACUGAGUGGCUUGAGUACGAGAGAGGUGAGUGGAAUUCCCAGUGUAGAGGUGAAAUUCGUAGAUAUUGGGAAGAACACCGGUGGCGAAGGCGGCUCACUGGCCCGAUACUGACGCUGAGGCACGAAAGCGUGGGGGAGCAAACAGG
rnacentral:rRNA from 1 species